rnacentral:lncRNA from 1 species
GAGAGCUAUGUUUGGUUUUUGAGAAAAAUAAUGAAAAGAGAAGAAACUUAUAGAGAGAAUGACAGUGGGAGAGUCGGGGGAAUGAGGUAGGAAAAGAAGAAAGAGAAGGAGAAAAAAGAAAAAAAAAAGAGAUAAAUUUACAAAAAUGUCCGUGAGCUUAACGGGUUAAUGGGUGUUGAAGAAAAAUGUCAACCUCCCAACAUAAUUUAACCACCACUAAUUAAAUAAUGGGGUUUUAUUAUUUUAGAUUUGACCCAUUCGAGAUGCGGUGUCUCUUAAUUAUAAUCCCUUACUUCAAGGGAACAACCUUUGAUUCUAUCUUAUAGAAACAGAAUGUCUGUGUUUGGUUUUGCGGCUGCUCCUAAGUCGAACUUUAGGAUGCCUACGUAUCCCUUACAGGAAUCAACCCACUCGUAAUUCAAAGAAUUGCAAUAAAUAAAUGACUCAUUGCAAGGAAAAUUUGAUUUGAAUUGUAUUGAGUG